CAGGAGAAUCGCUUGAGCCUGGGAAGUGGAGGUUGCAGUGACCCGAGAUUGCACCACUGCACUCCAGCCUGGGUGACAGAGUGAGACUCCAUCUUAAAAACAAAAACAAAAACAAAAACAAAAAACUUAGUGAAGCUAUCAGGUAUUGGAGAGCAUGGAAAUGCUAUAAACCAAUACAUUCUAUAUUUUAUUGAUACAGCAUUUUUUCAAUGUUUUGUCUACAGACAGAUCCCAGGGGAUUAACAUAUAUUUAAAUUACCUAACUUUCCAGUUGGACAUAAACAAUCUUAUCCUUCUCUUUCAUUGUCCUUUAUAUCUUCUGUGGGGUCUCCUGGGCUUGUGUAACUUGUCAUAAUGGACAGGAUGUGAGGGAUGCUACCACAGACAGACACCAUAUUGUAAAUCUGAAGAAUGGACAGAGGAAAACUUGCAACAGAAUUAGAGGAAAGAAGAAAUGAUGUGACAGAGUAAGACUCAAUCCAACAAACAAACAAAAAACAACAA
rnacentral:lncRNA from 1 species